CCUGUAUCCCACUUCAAUGACCACUUCAGGCACCACUUCAAAGACAGGUUAUCAGCCCUCAGCUGGGAGCAGUGAUGGGACUGAAGCUCGAAUGUGUACCUCUAAGCAGUACUGAACACAUCCUGGAAAGUUGGUGUUGAUAUGAAAGAUCUGGACAGGACAAAAUUCGAUACUGGCAAGCUGGCAUUGUGAAUAACAGGAUUCAUGUGAUGCAAAGACAAUCUCAAACAAGUUGCAGGAGUGGCUCUCCUGGAAGCUUCCCUACUGUCCCAGCGCCUGUGAGCUCAAAGAGCCUAACGCUGCCCUGCAAAAUCCACCGCCCUCCUGUGCUCUUUUGCAGGGGAUUAUAAGAAAAAGAGGAAAACAGGAUGGUGCACAUCUUCCAAGAUGCCCAGUGGAAGUUCCUGAUCUGGCCUUCUGCAGUGUCACGCUCCGUGUAUUUGACAAGCUGAGUUGGACACUCUGUGUGGUAGAGUGUCAGUUUGUCAAAUACCCCAAGUGUGGCUCAUGCCUGUCAGCACCAGGCCCAGGACAGAACGAAUAGCCUGCUGGCUAUAUAUGAAUGUUUAUGAAACACCAAGCUCUCUCAUGUUACUCUAUGGUUUUUGAGGGAACUAUAACAUUUCGUCAGGGGACAUAAGGGUAAGAAUGAUGCAGCUCUGGGGUCCAAAAAUCUGGGAUAUAUCUACUUACCUUGUGAGAAUGCCAUGGAAUGCACAAUGGUAUUGAAAAUACAUAAGUGAUACCAGGAAGAAGUGUUAUUUGAUUUAUUAUUAAUGUCUUCUUUUACAUUCUUCUUCUUGCAGCCUGAACACCAGAAUUUUCAUACAAGCAUCAUGACUUUUAUAAGAAAGUAGGACAUGGAAAUCUACUUUCUUUCCCUUGGAGCAUAUCUUGACCUUACCUACAUUUUAUCAUUUUCUCUUUGCUUUUCUCCUUCUUAAAUCACUCUUCCUGUUUCCCUUUGCACACCCAAUUCUUCCAUGUUCUUUCAGACCAUGCCAAAUUCCAAUCUCUCUGGGCAGUUUUGAAAGUUCACCUAUACUUUUUCUUUACUCCUUGACUAGAUACAGGUAUGUGCUUUUACAUUUCCUGCCACCCAAUAUAUCCUCCUAAACUGUCAGUGAAUUGCUCCAGGGUAUAUUCUUGAAUUCCCCAUUUACAUUGUAAGUGUCUAGAGCAUAUUAUUUUUACUUGAUUGCUGUC